CAGUCGCCGCGGUAAUACGUAGGUCCCGAGCGUUGUCCGGAAUUAUUGGGCGUAAAGGGCUCGCAGGCGGUUUCUUAAGUCUGAUGUGAGAGCCCCCGGCUCAACCGGGGAGGGUCAUUGGAAACUGGGAAACUUGAGUGCAGAAGAGGAGAGUGGAAUUCCACGUGUAGCGGUGAAAUGCGUAGAGAUGUGGAGGAACACCAGUGGCGAAGGCGACUCUCUGGUCUGUAACUGACGCUGGGGAGCGAAAGCGUGGGGAGCGAACAGGAUUAGAUACCCGGGUAGUCCCUGUCUCUUAUAC
rnacentral:rRNA from 1 species